UAACUGCGUGCAGACGUGUGAACUGCAGGACACAUGAACACCGACGUUUUGAACGCAUAUGGCGGUCUGAAAUAACUUUCAGACCAUGUCUGGCUGAGGGUCGGAUAUAAAACAAAAACCAAAGUUGGCAUCAAUGGGUACGUAGCGUGUCUACGGACUUGUUGUCCUAAAAUUCGUCAAUGCUAGUAGCCUUAAGUGGUUAUAGCUUGAUUAGAUAAAAUAUUUUGCGGUUGUGAUAAAAGGCAUAUCCGAUUUGAAAUAAAAAUCAAAGUAUGGCUCAUGACCGAUGAAAAUAAAAAGUCUUUCAUAGGCUUUAUUGUUGCGACCUCAGAGUAGGCAAGAUUACCCGCUAAAUUUAA
rnacentral:misc_RNA from 1 species